UUUUUUUUUUUUUUUUUCUUUUUAGGGCCACACCUGAAGCACAUUGAAGUUCCCAGACUAGGGGGUGAAAGAGCUGCUGGUCUACACCACAGCCACAGUAACAUCAGAUCUGAGUCGCAUUUGUGACCUAUGCCACAGCUUGCAGCAAUGCUGGAUCCUUAACCCACUAUGUGAGGCUAGGGUACAAAUCUGCAUCCUCUUGGAUAUUAGUCAGGUUCUUAAUUCACUGAGCCACAACAGACCCUCCAUGACCAUCUUUUGCUAUAAAUCAUUUGUCAGUACAUGAAUUUUAAUUCAUCCAACUUUCAGAUAUACAAGUACUUGCAUAUAAAUUCAGCUUGCUUUUCCAUGGCAAAAUACAGAAAAGAACUUUCAUAAGUUGUUAGGCUAAAAAGGUUACAGAAGAAAUUUACCUUCCUCAAUAUCUUUUAAAAUUUGCUUCCUAAUAUUAAAAGUGUUCAUCUUGUAGAAGAUUAUUGCUAUUGGUAAGGUUUUCAAAGAGAAAGGUUUAAUUUAGACCCCAAGAGUAAUUUAUUCCAAAGGUUUUGCUAUACCGGUAAGUUGGAUGUUUCCCUCCUGGCCUUCUGAAAGUAGCUAAGGUGAUUAUUACUUCAGAUUACAACCCAUGUGACAUUAAGCAAAUAUCUAGAUAAGACAGUAUUAGCUGAAGCAGGUUAACAUAAAAACAAUCUGAUUAAGAAAUAUUUAACAAGCAUUAUUUUCCUCACACAUUGCAGGUCUGUAUCUCAAGCAGUUUUCCUCUCUUGGUAAUGCAUUUUUUAAGAAUUCAUUCCUAUUUUAUAACCAUGAGGUUGCAGAUUCGUUAACUACUGAGCCACGACAGCAACUCCAGGAAAAAACUGAUUAAAUAAAUUUUGAUUCAUUCACUGAUACAAGAGAAUAAACAAAGCUAUAAAACACCUACUUCCUUUUCAGUGCUCUCUUAGUACACAGGAGACUGUAUGGCUGUUGGUGCACUGCCUCGUGUACUGUCAGGGGCUGUCCUUGACCAGGUGCAGUGGCCCACAGGGUCUGUGGCAUCAGGGCCACAACCCAGGAGUUAGGGAUGCUUAACUGGCCUGUCUGGUGGAGGGAGGGGAGCCCUUGGUGUGAUCAGAAGAAUGAUUCUUACAGAUGACUCAAGCAAAUGAGUAAAUAUGUUGAGAAUAAUGGGAGCUAGGUCUCUUAUUGUCAGAGAAAGGAACUACAGAUAGGAGAACAGGGAAGCUAAAAGAGACCCCAUGGAGCAAUACCAGAAUUGUUCUAUUUACUUAUUUAUUGACCAGGCCCACAGCAUAUGAAAGGUCCCAGGCCAGAGAUCAAACUGACACCACAGCAGCAACCUGAGCUGCUGCAGUGACAACACUAGACCCUUAACCUAUUGUGCCAUAAGAGAAUUCUGAAGUGUUCUUACUUUUAAAAAACAAACAUUUAAGCUUACAUUUAAGUAGAUGACUAGGCACUGUGACUCCAACUUACUAUUAAAUAGUUGAGGAAAAAAAUACAUGCAACGUGUAUAUAUGUAAAAAUAGAGAAAUCGAUAGAAUAGCUAACUGUUGACAACUGGGGAAUCUGGAAGGGGGGAUACAAGCAUUCUGUAUGGCAUUACGGCAACUUUUCUGAGAAACUGAAAUUUCAAAAUGAAUAGGAAAAUAACAUUCUUUAUGUAAAUUCCAAGGCAUAUUAAAUGAAAAAAGAAACGAAAAAGUACAGAAAAAUGUGUAUUGUGCUCGUCUGUAAACAGAGGGGGUAGUGAGAGGUGAACACAUACAGAUACGCUGUUAGAGUACACUCAUACAGGCAGUGCCUCUAGAAACAGGCUGGAAUCUGAUAUAUGCUGGUUUCUCUGGCAGAUGAAAAACCAAGUGGCUGGAGAUGGCUAAGAGGGUUCUUUUUCACUCUGAAAACUUGAGUUUUGUACUAUGUGAAAGGAAAUAACUUAAAAACAGAAUGUGUCAGUGGUUGCCAAAUACAAGUGCCAGGCUGGCUGCCUUAGAAGGACCUGGGGAACAUUUCAAACUACAUUAACAGGCAUCAACUCCAGAACUUCUAUUUUAAUGGGUCCAGGAUAGGACUCAGGUAUCAGUAGGAUUUCCCUAGUGAGUAAUAAAACACGGCAUGGUCUGGGAACCACUGCUCUAACCAAAUCACCCAAACUGACCCUCUGCAAACCCAAAAUUCUAAGUAAAUUAGGAAAUUAGAAACAAAUACUUUCUGUCCAAUGAGAGAA
rnacentral:lncRNA from 1 species